GAUGAAGAACGCAGCGAAAUGCGAUAAGUAAUGUGAAUUGCAGAAUUCAGUGAAUCAUCGAAUCUUUGAACGCACAUUGCGCCCGCCAGUAUUCUGGCGGGCAUGCCUGUUCGAGCGUCAUUUCAACCAUCAAGCCCCCGGCUUGUGUUGGGGACCUGCGGCUGCCGCAGGCCCUGAAAACCAGUGGCGGGCUCGCUGUCACACCGAGCGUAGUAGAUUUUCAUCUCGCUCAGGGCGUGCUGCGGGUUCCGGCCGUAAAAAGCCUUAUUUACCCAAGGUUGACCUCGGAUCAGGUAGGAAGACCCGCUGAACUUAAGCAUAUCAUAAGCGGAGGA
rnacentral:misc_RNA from 1 species